GCGCCCGUGGCCUAAUGGAUAGGGCACCAGUCUUCGGAACUGGCUAUUGGUGGUUCGAAUCCACCCGGGCGCA
rnacentral:tRNA from 1 species